CCUACGGGAGGCAGCAGUGGGGAAUUUUGGACAAUGGGGGCAACCCUGAUCCAGCAAUGCCGCGUGAGUGAAGAAGGCCCUCGGGUUGUAAAGCUCUUUUGUCAGGGAAGAAACGGUGGUUCCUAAUACGAGCUGCUAAUGACGGUACCUGAAGAAUAAGCACCGGCUAACUACGUGCCAGCAGCCGCGGUAAUACGUAGGGUGCAAGCGUUAAUCGGAAUUACUGGGCGUAAAGCGUGCGCAGGCGGUUAUAUAAGACAGAGGUGAAAUCCCCGGGCUCAACCUGGGAACUGCCUUUGUGACUGUAUGGCUAGAGUGUGUCAGAGGGGGGUAGAAUUCCACGUGUAGCAGUGAAAUGCGUAGAUAUGUGGAGGAAUACCGAUGGCGAAGGCAGCCCCCUGGGAUAACACUGACGCUCAUGCACGAAAGCGUGGGGAGCAAACAGGAUUAGAUACCCUGGUAGUCCACGCCCUAAACGAUGUCUACUAGUUGUCGGGACUUAAUUGUCUUGGUAACGCAGCUAACGCGUGAAGUAGACCGCCUGGGGGAGGUACGGUCGCGAGAAGUAAACGUAACGAAGAAGUAGACGCGUGAGACGUGCGACGACGACGACGAGGGAGGAGG
rnacentral:rRNA from 1 species